rnacentral:antisense_RNA from 1 species
CUUCAGCGAGCCCAGCCACAGCGGGCGGUCGGCGGUGCGGCUCUGUCCGUACGUGGCCAGCAGCGCCUGUGCCUC